rnacentral:rRNA from 1 species
GACGAACGUUGGCGGCGUGCCUAAUACAUGCAAGUCAACUGAAAUACCGGUAGCAAUACUGGUAUGGAGUGGCGCACGGGUGAGUAACACGUAGGUAAUCUGCCUUCAGGUCUGACAUAACCCAUCGAAAGGUGAGCUAAUAUCAGAUGAUGCAGCGGCUUGACAUCAAGACAGUUGUUAAAGCUUCGGCGCCUUGAAGAUCGAGCCNGCGUCUGAUUAGCUAGUU